GCGACCCCGCGAGGGCAAGCCAACCACAGAAAAGCCAUCUCAGUUCGGAUUGUAGUCUGCAACCCGACUACAUGAAGCUGGAAUCGCUAGUAAUCGCGAAUCAGAAUGUCGCGGUGAAUACGUUCCCGGGCCUUGUACACACCGCCCGUCAAGCCAUGGGAGCCGGGGGCGCCUGAAGUCCGGGACCGCGAGGACCGGCCUAGGGCGAAACUGGUGACUGGGGCUAAGUCGUAACAAGGUACC
rnacentral:rRNA from 1 species